AUUGAACGCUGGCGGCAGGCCUAACACAUGCAAGUCGAGCGGAUGAAGAGAGCUUGCUCUCUGAUUUAGCGGCGGACGGGUGAGUAAUGCCUAGGAAUCUGCCAGGUAGUGGGGGAUAACGUUCCGAAAGGAACGCUAAUACCGCAUACGUCCUACGGGAGAAAGCAGGGGACCUUCGGGCCUUGCGCUAUCAGAUGAGCCUAGGUCGGAUUAGCUAGUUGGUGAGGCAAUGGCUCACCAAGGCGACGAUCCGUAACUGGUCUGAGAGGAUGAUCAGUCACACUGGAACUGAGACACGGUCCAGACUCCUACGGGAGGCAGCAGUGGGGAAUAUUGGACAAUGGGCGAAAGCCUGAUCCAGCCAUGCCGCGUGUGUGAAGAAGGUCUUCGGAUUGUAAAGCACUUUAAGUUGGGAGGAAGGGCAGUAAGUUAAUACCUUGCUGUUUUGACGUUACCGACAGAAUAAGCACCGGCUAACUUCGUGCCAGCCGCCGCAGUAAUAC
rnacentral:rRNA from 1 species